AUGGGUAUUGCCAAAUUUAGCUUCUCUUGUUGGAAUGUCCGCGGACUUGGGAUACCACAUAAAUGCUCUGAUGUUCUUUCCAAGCUCAUCUCUUUUAACCCAUAUGUGUGCUUUCUUCAAGAAACUAAGUUAAGCGCUUUUCCGAUCCUUAAGCAAAAAAGUUUCCUUCUGCGACACCUUGAUCUUAUCCACCCUGUCUCGUCCAUUGGCUCGGCUGGCGGCAUGCUCUAGGCUUUCUCCUCGGGUCACUUCUCGCUGCUGGCUGCUAUGAACGCUGGCACCUACACUCAAUCCUCGAUGAUCACUUGCCUCGCCUCUCUCCACCCCUUGGUUAUCACUAACGUUUACGCGCCUACUGAUCACGCCCUGAAGCCUGCCUUUCUCCAGGAGCUUUCGAGCCAGGUUCCAACCAAUGCCACGCCCUGGCUUAUCCUUGGCGAUUUUAACUUGCUAUGGCACCCCUCAGAAGAAAACACAGCUGGUUUUUGGCAAGGUGAGGCGAACAUGUUCAACUCAUUUAGUAAAUCUAACACCCUCAUAGAAUUACCUCUCCUUGACCGUAUCUUCACUUGGUAUAGUAAGCGUGACGAGCCAACUCUAGAAAAAAUUGACCGUGUUUUCAUCAGCUGUGAUUGGGACCUUCUUUUCCCUAAUACUUCUAUUUCUUCUCUAACCCGUUUUGUAUCUGAUCAUGUUCCCUUAAUCAUCUCAAUCGACACCGACAUCCCUCGUCCCACGCUUUUUUGUUUUGAAAAAAGAUGGGCUCUGAGGCCUGCUUGCAAAAUCACCAUCCAGUCAUCAUGA
rnacentral:rRNA from 1 species